GCUUUAAAAGUAUUUCUCAGUCAUGUAAUUAUGUUUUAAUGCCAGGUUCUUAAAAUGACUUAGAAAAGAAGAAGCAGCUCUGAAAAUUUUAGGUCUGAAAUGUGUUAGAAGUAUCUGGAGCAGCAGGAGGAUGCAUCAGGAAACGGGUGACAUUUAAUAGGGCUUAAGAAUGAAAAUGAUGACUCUCCACUUUCACAUAAAUGAAACCUCUAUAUCAAAGUUGAAAUUAGAUGAUAUGAUAAAAAUUGGCAUUUACCUAGUGUAAUAUGAUGGUAUUUUCUUAUUAUGAAAUUCUUCAGUGCAAGGAAGUUACGUGCUGGUCCUGUCUCACUCCGUAUAAAACUCCUUGCACAAGGAGAUCCAAUUGAAAUUCCACGGGUGUUCACACUUUUCUUCAUUCCAUGGAGAUGUGGAACAGCCUAGUCUGAAUACUUGACCUUUAUUUCUCAGCAUGCUCUUUUUUUUUUCCCCAGGACAAAGCCUUCUGAAUUCUUAAACCUGGAAGGUGGAGGUGAGAAUUUGCUGGUGAGAUGUGGAUCAGGUUGAACAGAGAAACCAAGAUACCAUGAGGUAAGCGACUUUGCUGUACCACAUGCUACCCAUCAGGAUGUUCUGACUCGCCACAGCUCCCCAAACAACAAAGCCUACAGAGCCUCCCUACUCUGGUGCCCCAGGCAUACAUGAUGGUGCUUCCCUAGCAGGACAGCAUGUCAGAACAGCUCAGGGUGAAGUCAUGGACAACAGCACAUGCCCAGGAUGCCCACCUACUGAGCAUUUAUUUGGCUGGAGGAAGAUUUUGAAAUAAAGGAAAUGUGUGAAUUUCUUUUCUCCAAAAAUUCCCUGAUCCAUUCUUCCCUUGGCAAACACUUUUAGUCAUUGCAUUUAUUUAUACAUUUAAUGUAUGCAUGAUCAUUAUUAAAUUUCUACUUCAUUGGGAACUA